UUUAUUUUGGCAGAUUAGUGCGAAGGAUUUAGAAUCUUUAAAUGUAUAUUAAUACAAAUAAAA
rnacentral:tRNA from 1 species